rnacentral:rRNA from 1 species
AACAAACGCUGGCGGCGUGCCUAAUACAUGCAAGUCGAGCGGACAGAAGGGAGCUUGCUCCCGGAUGUUAGCGGCGGACGGGUGAGUAACACGUGGGUAACCUGCCUGUAAGACUGGGAUAACUCCGGGAAACCGGAGCUAAUACCGGAUAGUUCCUUGAACCGCAUGGUUCAAGGAUGAAAGACGGUUUCGGCUGUCACUUACAGAUGGACCCGCGGCGCAUUAGCUAGUUGGUGAGGUAACGGCUCACCAAGGCGACGAUGCGUAGCCGACCUGAGAGGGUGAUCGGCCACACUGGGACUGAGACACGGCCCAGAAUCCUACGGGAGGCAGCAGUAGGGAAUCUUCCGCAAUGGACGAAAGUCUGACGGAGCAACGCCGCGUGAGUGAUGAAGGUUUUCGGAUCGUAAAGCUCUGUUGUUAGGGAAGAACAAGUGCAAGAGUAACUGCUUGCACCUUGACGGUACCUAACCAGAAAGCCACGGCUAACUACGUGCCAGCCGCCGCUGUAACAC